GCGGACAUAGAGAAGGAACAGCGACAGAAGCUCCCAAUGAAAACUGUGGUCAACGCGAGAGGAAUUUAAGACUGGCCUUUCAGUACAGAAAUAACACAGAGAUGGAUCCGGAAAGGAUUUCCACUUCAGAACGUUGCAACGGACUUCUGUACGUCGAAAUCUUGGCUCGGACUGUUCCUCUACCGAGACACGAAGUGUCCAGCGCCGUCAAUCCGUUGUCAGAACAUUGAAGAAAGAAGAAAGAUCGUGAAGGGUUGAUUUUGUUUCACAGUAGCCUAUGCAUGCUUUCCGGGCACGAACGUGGUACAAACGAUUAGUUUGUCUUUGAUCAGAUUAUUAAAUGAAUUCCCUUAG